rnacentral:rRNA from 1 species
GAUGAACGCUGGCGGCGUGCCUAAUACAUGCAAGUCGAGCGAACAGACGAGGAGCUUGCUUCUCUGACGUUAGCGGCGGACGGGUGAGUAACACGUGGAUAACCUACCUAUAAGUCUGGGAUAACUUCGGGAAACCGGCGCUAAUCCCGGAUGAUAUUUUGAACCGCAUGGUUCAAUAGUGAAAGACGGUGUUGCUGUCACUUAUAGAUGGAUCCGCGCUGCAUUAGCUAGUUGGUAAGGUAACGGCUUACCAAGGCAACGAUGCGUAGCCGACCUGUGAGGGUGAUCGGCCACACUGGAACUGAGACACGGUCCAGACUCCUACGGGAGGCAGCAGUAGGGAAUCUUCCGCAAUGGGCGAAAGCCUGACGGAGCAACGCCGCGUGAGUGAUGAAGGUCUUCGGAUCGUAAAACUCUGUUAUUAGGGAAGAACAUAUGUGUAAGUAACUGUGCACAUCUUGACGGUACCUAAUCAGAAAGCCACGGCUAACUACGUG